rnacentral:rRNA from 1 species
GACGAACGCUGGCGGCGUGCUUAACACAUGCAAGUCGAGCGGUAAGGCCCUUUCGGGGGUACACGAGCGGCGAACGGGUGAGUAACACGUGGGUGACCUGCCCUCAGCUCUGGGAUAAGCCUGGGAAACUGGGUCUAAUACCGGAUAUUCACUGCCUGUCGCAUGGUGGGUGGUGGAAAGUUUUUUCGGCUGGGGAUGGGCCCGCGGCCUAUCAGCUUGUUGGUGGGGUGAUGGCCUACCAAGGCGACGACGGGUAGCCGGCCUGAGAGGGCGACCGGCCACAGUGGGACUGAGACACGGCCCAGACUCCUACGGGAGGCAGCAGUGGGGAAUAUUGCGCAAUGGGCGGAAGCCUAACUCAGCGACGCCGCGUGGGGGAUGACGGCCUUCGGGUUGUAAACCCCUUUCGACCGGGACGAAGAGUGAUUGACGGUACCGGUAGAAGAAGCACCGGCCAACUACGUGCCAGCCGCCGCCGUAAUAC